rnacentral:rRNA from 1 species
AACGGCAUUGGGUGCUUGCACUCUUUGGACGUCGACCGACGCACGGGUGAGUAACGCGUAUCCAACCUUCCCAUUACUGUGGGAUAACCUGCCGAAAGGCAGACUAAUACCGCAUAGUCUUCGAUGACGGCAUCAGAUUUGAAGUAAAGAUUUAUCGGUAAUGGAUGGGGAUGCGUCUGAUUAGCUUGUUGGCGGGGUAACGGCCCACCAAGGCUACGAUCAGUAGGGGUUCUGAGAGGAAGGUCCCCCACAUUGGAACUGAGACACGGUCCAAACUCCUACGGGAGGCAGCAGUGAGGAAUAUUGGUCAAUGGACGGAAGUCUGAACCAGCCAAGUAGCGUGCAGGAUGACGGCCCUAUGGGUUGUAAACUGCUUUUGUAUGGGGAUAAAGUUAGGGACGUGUCCCUAUUUGCAGGUACCAUACGAAUAAGGACCGGCUAAUUCCGUGCCAGCAGCCGCGGUAAUACGGAAGGUCCAGGCGUUAUCCGGAUUUAUUGGGUUUAAAGGGAGCGUAAGCUGGAGAUUAAGUGUGUUGUGAAAUGUAGACGCUCAACGUCUGAAUUGCAGCGCAUACUGGUUUCCUUGAGUACGCACAACGUUGGCGGAAUUCGUCGUGUAGCGGUGAAAUGCUUAGAUAUGACGAAGAACUCCGAUUGCGAAGGCAGCUGACGGGAGCGCAACUGACGCUUAAGCUCGAAGGUGCGGGUAUCAAACAGGAUUAGAUACCCUGGUAGUCCGCACAGUAAACGAUGGAUGCCCGCUGUUGGUACCUGGUAUCAGCGGCUAAGCGAAAGCAUUAAGCAUCC